GGGGUCGACUGGUUUUGACAGCGAGAUUAAUUGAACGGUAAGCACGUGGUGUAAUGAUUUUGAAACACCUAAAAGACUAAAUCAAACUUUAAACGGCGAGAAUAACUACGCUUUAGCUGCAUAAUUCGAAUUAUAGUAGAAUUAGCCUCGGUACACAAGGUGUACAAGCUUUAUGUCUCCGGAAAGCCUUGAUUGACGGCGUUCCAUUUUGAGGCAUCGUAAAUGUCAAUAUAGUUUAAGCAGUGCUUUGUUGCUUUUACGAAACUUAAGAAGCUAAGUUAAAAGUGGGUUGUCUUUAACCAGCUUUUAAUCGAAAACUCAAGAAAAGAAUAAACGUGUAGAAAGCUCUUUGGUUACUUGUUUGGACGAGAGUUCGAUUCUCUCCGACUCCACAA
rfam:Algibacter alginicilyticus strain HZ22 chromosome, complete genome.